AGCGAACGCUGGCGGCAGGCCUAACACAUGCAAGUCGAACGAACUCUUCGGAGUUAGUGGCGGACGGGUGAGGAACACGUGGGAACGUGCCUUUAGGUUCGGAAUAACUCAGGGAAACUUGUGCUAAUACCGAAUGUGCCCUUCGGGGGAAAGAUUUAUCGCCUUUAGAGCGGCCCGCGUCUGUUUAGCUAGUUGGUGAGGGAAAGGCUCACCAAGGCGACGAUCGGUAGCUGGUGUGUGAGGAGGCUCAGCCACAUUGGGACUGAGACCCGGCCCAAACUCCUACGGGAGGCAGCAGUGGGGAAUCUUGCGCAAUGGGCGAAAGCCUGACGCAGCCAUGCCGCGUGAAUGAUGAAGGUCUUAGGGCUGUAAAAUUCUUUCACCGGGGACGAUAAUGACGGUACUCGGAGAAGAAGCCCCGGCUAACUUCGUG
rnacentral:rRNA from 1 species